ensembl:lncRNA
CUGAUAGUCUUCUCUGAGGGUACCAAUCAAAGGUCAAGACCUUUUUCACAACAUCACUGAUCUUCCUUGAAAAUCCAUGGAGAGUGGAUAGAUCAGAUAGUGGAGUGGUAACUGAAGAAAUAAAGAGGAAGUUGCUCAGGACAGAAGAUAAAAACAUGAGACAAAGGAAACAAACUGCUCUUGGAUAGGGUGCUUCUGAGGCUGGGAUUCUUCCCAGGGAAGACCACGCUGCGGAUCUACUGCUGCAUAAGGAGCCAUGCCAAAAGAGCUCCACUCAGAAGACACCUGGAAUGGGGCUCAUCCCAGACUCAGCCAGGAGGGACAGACCUUAACCUUGGCUGGGACCCAGAAGGCAGAGGAUAGAAAAGAAAAAGGAAGUAAAGAGGAAAUAGAGAAAGCAAACUCUAUGUGGACUGAAAUACAACCUGCUGGGAAGACUGGAAAACGGUUUAGAGUCCUCUGGAUGCCAGAUGUGUUCGUGACCCAGCUACAAGGAAACUGGAUUCUUUCUGGUCACGUUGGAUAUCUGCAUGCGCUUCUAAGUGUUGUAUUGCAUAAAGCAUGUGAACUCUUAGUUUCAUCAUGUAGGAUCCAGCUCCCUGACCAGGGAUUGAACUUGGGGCCCCUGCGUUGGAAGCAUCGAGUCCCAGCCUCUGGACAACCAGGGAAGUCCCUACAGCUCCAUUUUCAAUCAAGAACACUGAGGCUCAGUGGAGAGGUCCUGGUAAGGAACAAGGAACUAAUAAGCCACCACCAACCAGAAGAGUUCAGGAAAUGUCAAAAGGAGACACCACAUGUCCGACCACCUCCCAGAAUCCUCACUGGCAUCCAUCUUGGCUGAACAAGGUGUGCACCACCAGGAGGGAGUCUUAGUCAGAAUGACUGGAUAAAGACAACCCAGAAACUAAUCCCAUCACCAUAAAACCAAGACUGCAGCCAUGUGGCAGAGCAGUUCUCCUGUGUUCCCUUGCCCUACUGCUCUCCACCCAGGCACCCUUUCCCAAUAAAAUUUCUUGCUUUGUCUGCAC